CAGGAGCUGGAGUACAAACUGGCACAGUUAGGAGCCUGAAGUUUGAGAAUGUCAGGUGACAUUAUCUUGUCUAAACAAAAUGUCAAGGUCCAGCUGCUCGGGUCGCUGAAGCCUCCCUGCUGUAACAGACUGAAACCUAAAUGAAUCUCUCAUCCUGUGGCUUGAAUAGAAAACGUCCAACUUGGGUUCUGUGUAUGACCUCUCACUGGUGGCAUUAAGGAGAUGGACAGUGGAACCCUCAGGAGAUGCUCUCGCUGCCCAGUCUGUUGGAUCCCUUGGGACAACUGCUGGUGCUCUGGACCCUCACGUCUGAACGAAGAACCCUGAUGGGCAGAGAGGAGAAAACGUCUGAAGGAAUGCCUAACUUAUGGAAGGAGAUCUGUCCAGCCUGUCGGUGUACGUGGUGAACCUGCUUCCUCUGGGUGGAAUGUGACCAUCAGCACAUGACUCAGAGCUGCCACGAUCCUCCCUGGAGCGAUGGAGAGCCUACAAGCUUCAUGGGGCUUCUGGGGGGGUGCAGGAGCCUUCAUGGCUAUCCUCUCUGA
rnacentral:lncRNA from 1 species